CAGCCGCCACGGUAAUACGGAGGGGGCUAGCGUUGUUCGGAAUUACUGGGCGUAAAGCGCACGUAGUCGGCUUGGUAAGUUAGAGGUGAAAGCCCAGGGCUCAACCCUGGAAUUGCCUUUAAGACUGCCGAGCUAGUAGGUGAGAGAGGUAAGUGGAAUUCCGAGUGUAGAGGUGAAAUUCGUAGAUAUUCGGAAGAACACCAGUGGCGAAGGCGGCUUACUGGCUCAUUCUAGACGCUGAGGUGCGAAAGCGUGGGGAGCAAACAGGAUUAGAUACCCCUGUAGUCCCUGUCUCUUAUAC
rnacentral:rRNA from 1 species